GAAAACUAUCAAACUGCCAUCAAAGUUGUUUCUCCAAGUAUAAAAGAGGGUUCCUACGGCUAGAAAUGCAAUUGAAAGCUUCCAAGAACACAAAAAAGAGCUGAAAAACCAAAAAACAUCUUCUGCACUUCACUGCACUUAACGCCCAUCCUUGUAAUUGUAUUUUGCACUUCAACUUAUACCACAUAGAUCAACAUUGUGAUCAUAGGUACACUUCUCUUCAUUGGGUUAUAGUUGAGCCCGGGAAAAACUAUUGUGAAAGGUUUUGGCUAAGCUUGGUAAAAGCCAUUGUAAUGCUUGGUGAAAGCUUGUGAAUUUCACCGGUUCUUAGUGGAUUGGUUGGAAAAUCCUUGGUUGGAUAAUCAGGGUAGUGGAUGUAGAUCUUG
rnacentral:lncRNA from 1 species